rnacentral:rRNA from 1 species
UAGGGAAUCUUCCACAAUGGCGCAAGCCUGAUGGAGCAACACCGCGUGAGUGAAGAAGGGUUUCGGCUCGUAAAGCUCUGUUGUUAAAGAAGAACACGUAUGAGAGUAACUGUUCAUACGUUGACGGUAUUUAACCAGAAAGUCACGGCUAACUACGUGCCAG